GUAAAACACAUUAGGACAGGAAAUAGCAAUGGGGUAUUGCUAUGUGUGUGAAUGUAGGGGUAGAUUUUUGAGGAGUGUUAGUGUGUGAAUUCUGUUGGGUAUUUUGCAGAGUGCCAGUGUGUGCAUGUAUGCGUAUAUUGUGACGGGUUAGUGUGCAUGCAUGCGUAUAUUGUGACGGGUUAGUGUGCAUGUAUGCGUAUAUUGUGACGGGUUAGUGUGCAUGUAUGCAGGUGUGUGUGUGCAUUGAGUUUCCAAUUCCCUUCUACCCAUUAUAUUUCCUUAAAUCCUCCUCUCUUUAUUUAUCUUUCCCUCACAAAUGUUUC